AAACCGGAGCCCUCUGGUGUCCCAAGCUAGCUCUUAACCAACGUGCCACUCGGCCGGCCCUGGAGGUGCAUUUUAAGAUUCUGAAAUGAAGUUCAAUAUGUCAUGUUUCCCUUCAUUAUGUAGUUAUUCUUCUGCUUGUCUGUUUCUACAUUACCUUCAGACAUGAUCACAUAUUGAUUCUUUGUGCUUCUGUCUACACUCAGUGCUCAGUGGAUGUGAUUUUUUUUUCCCCAUGUCAAUCUUCUGUUGUUUUAUUUAUCAUAUCCUAACUGCAGGUUAUUGCAAGAUGGUUAUUUAUUUACUGUCAACCAACUAUCCAUGUAAAAGGAAAUAAAUGGAGUCCUUGUGGUCUAAUACAAAUCUAUUUAGUACAAGGAACUAGCUAUUUUUGAAAAGCACAUUUUGUAUUCUGAAUGUCCUUAAUAUGAAUACAUUUUACCCAGUUCAAUCAUUUACUCAGCCAACAUUGACUGAUUUCGUGUUUGUACAAGGUACCAUGCUGGGCUCGUUGGAAGAUGCAAAAAUGAGCCAGACUCUCUCAGUCCUCUAAGCUGUCAGUGGCUUUCCAUUGGCUUCCUGGUUGAUUAAAAGACAGGUGUAUCUGUCAUUGGUGAUGCAUCUUGACUAUUAAGUGGUUGCUCCUUAAUAGCUUACUAGUUUAGCUUAGUAAUUUCACUCAGUGAGAGUGAAAUGAACUGUUUAAUACCAUGAAGUGAGCUGCAGAAGGAGGGGUAUUUUGGGAUGAUGUCAGUACCUAUUACUGCUUGGUAGGUGUCACACACCAUAGGGCGGGGCCUUCUGGAAAUAGCAUCUAACCCCAAAAGGGAGACAAAGGGCAUAUUUUUGAAUACAUGGACUUUUCUCGCCCCUCAAAUCUCACCCUGCCAUAAACAUCCUCAAUCAAGACAAAUUGUCAUUAAAAUCCACGGACAAUAUCACCUCCUUGACCUUCAGGGCAAGUCUGAGAAGUUAACAAGGCAGAUGCAAUAUGCACUCGAGAGACUAGAAAUCAGUGACCACCCUUGCCUGACUACAUUAUAAUGGAAAACGCAGAACAGAAAGUGGAACUUAGGUCUUCAUAGUUCCAGUCCUUGGUUCAUUGUACCACUUCAUGACCGAAGUGAGAGAAGGGGUGGCCAUGAAGGAGGUAGGGUGGAUGUCAUAGGGACAACAAUGAAAGAGCAUGAUUUAGUUGUGUUGUUCUAAACAGGGCUUCUUAUCUGGCAAACUUAUUGUUAAGGAACCGGUGUAAAAAGAGUUGAGGAGUGAAAAGGGGAGAAAAGAAACUAAUGAUGGAAACAGUGGGAAAUGGCCUCCUAUCAGUGUGUAGAUACAGAGGACUUUGAAUCACCUUUAUACCUGCCUGCUCCCAGGUGUUGUGCUUUGAAGUGUCACCUGGUAAUAGCACACCCUAGCAGCAAGCUGCCUGGAGACAGCAGAACAAGAAGGGGUUGCCAAAAGAAGUAAGAAAAUUUGCUGAACAUAAUCUUAUAAAACACGUGAGGCAAUGUUUGAUGCUUUUCUAGAAACCAAACAAUUGCCAGCAAAACUUCCUGCUGACUUCUCCCAUAGGGCACACAGCUUGGGCUGUCUUCGGGCCCUGGAUUUCCUAGGCAACAGGAGUGUAAACUUGAGAAAAGGCAGGGCCAGGAUAUGGACUGACAAUGAGCUGAGCCAAUCAGGCUGUGAGUAUGCAACAGUGAUUCCAAGCUAUCCAAUUGGCACGAGAAGGCAGACUAAGAGGUCUGAGGAGGAAAGGGAAGAGGGAGGGGGCCAGGGGGCAUGGGAGGGGGCCGGUCUCCCCAGUGCAGGGCUCCCCAGUGCAGGAGACAGCGUCCAUAGUUUCCGUUCCAAGCAACUGGUGGCAACAGGUUAGCAUUUAAGAUGGCAGGGACAGCACGCCAUGACCGAGAGAUGGCAAUCCAAGCCAACAAAAAGCUCACCACAGCCACUGACCCCAUUGAAAGACUUCGGCUGCAGUGCCUGGCCAGGGGCUCCGCGGGCAUCAAAGGACUUGGCAGAGUGUUUCGAAUCAUGGAUGACAAUAAUAACCGAACUCUUGAUUUCAAAGAAUUUGUGAAAGGGUUAAAUGAUUAUGCUGUAGUCAUGGAAAAAGAAGAGGCAGAAGAGCUUUUCCGGAGGUUUGAUAGAGAUGGAAAUGGAACAAUAGACUUCAAUGAAUUUCUUCUCACGUUAAGACCUCCAAUGUCCAGAGCCAGAAAAGAGGUAAUUAUGCAAGCUUUCAGGAAGUUAGACAAAACUGGAGAUGGCGUUAUAACAAUCGAAGACCUUCGUGAGGUGUACAAUGGAAAACACCAUCCAAAGUACCAAAAUGGAGAAUGGACUGAGGAACAAGUAUUCAGGAAAUUUCUGGAUAAUUUUGAUUCACCCUAUGACAAAGAUGGAAUAGUGACCCCCGAGGAGUUUAUGAACUACUAUGCAGGGGUGAGCGCGUCCAUUGACACCGAUGUGUAUUUCAUCGUCAUGAUGAGAACGGCCUGGAAGCUCUAAAUAUUCUCCUCCCUGUGCUGCGUAAAUGGAAUUUAUGUAUUUAUUCUUUCUUGGGAGUGUUAAACAAACCCUAACAGCCAUUGAACACUGUUGAUGCAAUUUCUGUUUCACCAAAGUUGUCAUGAGCACCUGUGGGUUUCUAGCUACCACUUUUGUUCCCAACUCUGGAACUGUGCGAAGCAGCUCGAAUGUGCAAAGGGGCACACCCAGCUCUGUAUUAUGCUGCCCAAAUAACUGUCAUUCAUCUCCAGUUUCCUUCUGCUCUAGAACCAGUAGUAAAUUUAUGAGGGGCUCAGAGCUUGAGCACCAGGAAUUUGAAGCAAGAUCUGAGUUUCAAAAGAAGACUUUUUGAACUAUUAUGCUGGUGUUAGUGCUUCUAUUGACACUGAUGCCUAUUUUGUUUUGAUGAUGAUGAAAUCCUGGAGAUUAUGACUUUUAUCUGCUAAUUCCUUUGGAAAUCAGGGACUCUCAAAGAAUGGGAUGAGUUUGAAAGAAGUUCAAUGCUAUAGAUUUUGAUAAGGUGUGAACUAAAGUUUCUGAAAGAUCUGGAAUUGUAAAAUCAAUAGAUCUUCAGUCAUUUUACUUAAUUACCUGGAACAUGUUCAUUUCCUUAAAUGUCUGAGGAUACAUUUUAAAAUCAUAAAUAAAGGAAGAAAAGGGAGGAAAGAAGGAAGAAAUGAAGAAAGAAAACCAUGACAUGAGACUGGGAAGUAGCUCUUCCUUGAAAUAAUAUACUUCUUAAUAUAAUUGUUCUUAUAGGUGUAAAUGUAGAUGUUUCUCCACAUCUUUAUUUACUGUCUUGGCACCUAUAGUAGGAGGUGAUAAUAAAGGGACUGGAGGAACAUCUGUGUAAAUUUUCCUGUGCUUACUUAGUUUCAUGUUUCUCAUGGUGAAACAUUUCCAAAUGAAAUUUAUUUUAUUCUGAAAUUUCGUGACUUUUGGGGGCUAUUUGAA